rnacentral:piRNA from 1 species
UCAGCUUACACUUGCUUACUGCUGUUCAU